CUUUGCAAAUACAUUCCACAGGUUCUUCUGAAUACUUAAAUGAAUCAGUAGGGGGAGAUAUACCAAAGUGUUCUGUUCUAAAAAGUGGCCUAAAGCACAGGUUCUCAACCUGGGGUACGCCGGAAGCUGGCCUGCUGUGCAGUAAGGCAGAGUAGGCACCUGCUUACUUGGACAACAGGUGCCUACUCUGCCCAAAUGUGCAGUGUCCAGAGAGGAG